CGUUACACACCGCCCGUCAAGCCNCGAAAGGAGAGAGCGCUCUAAGCCGCCUUGGUAACCCGCAAGGGAACUAAGCGUCUAAAGCGAGAUUUCUGAUUGGGGCU
rnacentral:rRNA from 1 species